rnacentral:rRNA from 1 species
CAUAUCAAUAAGCGGAGGAAAAGAAACUAACAAGGAUUCCCCUAGUAACUGCGAGUGAAGCGGGAAAAGCUCAAAUUUAAAAUCUGGCAGUCUCUGGCUGUCCGAGUUGUAAUCUAGAGAAGUGCUAUCCGCGCUGGACCGUGUACAAGUCUCCUGGAAUGGAGCGUCGUAGAGGGUGAGAAUCCCGUCUUUGACACGGACUGCCAGGGCUUUGUGAUGCGCUCUCAAAGAGUCGAGUUGUUUGGGAAUGCAGCUCAAAAUGGGUGGUAAAUUCCAUCUAAAGCUAAAUAUUGGCGAGAGACCGAUAGCGAACAAGUACCGUGAGGGAAAGAUGAAAAGAACUUUGGAAAGAGAGUUAAACAGUACGUGAAAUUGCUGAAAGGGAAACGCUUGAAGUCAGUCGCGUUGACCAGGGAUCAACCUUGCUUUUGCUUGGUGUACUUUCUGGUUGACGGGUCAGCAUCAAUUUUGACUAUUGGAAAAAGAUCAAGGGAAUGUGGCAUCUUCGGAUGUGUUAUAGCCCUUGGUUGCAUACAAUGGUUGGGAUUGAGGAACUCAGCACGCCGCAAGGCCGGGUUUAACCACGUACGUGCUUAGGAUGCUGGCAAAAUGGCUUUAAUCGACCCGUCUUGAAACACGGACCAAGGAGUCUAACAUGCCUGCGAGUGUUUGGGUGGAAAACCCAAGCGCGUAAUGAAAGUGAAAGUUGAGAUCCCUGUCGUGGGGAGCAUCGACGCCCGGACCAGACCUUCUGUGACGGUUCCGCGGUAGAGCAUGUAUGUUGGGACCCGAAAGAUGGUGAACUAUGCCUGAAUAGGGUGAAGCCAGAGGAAACUCUGGUGGAGGCUCGUAGCGAUUCUGACGUGCAAAUCGAUCGUCAAAUUUGGGUAUAGGGGCGAAAGACUAAUCGAACCAUCUAGUAGCUGGUUCCUG